rnacentral:rRNA from 1 species
GAUGAACGCUAGCUGGAGGCUUAAUACAUGCAAGUCGAGCGGGAUUGGGUAGCAAUACCCAUGAGAGCGGCGCACGGGUGAGUAACGCGUACACGACCUACCUCUAACAGGGGGAUAGCCCUGGGAAACUGGGAUUAAUACCGCAUAUAAUUCUGACAAAUAAAGAGUUGGAAUGAAAGUUCAGGCGGUUAGAGAUGGGUGUGCGUCUGAUUAGCUAGUUGGUAGGGUAACGGCCUACCAAGGCGAUGAUCAGUAGGGGGCGUGAGAGCGUGGGCCCCCACACGGGUACUGAGACACGGACCCGACUCCUACGGGAGGCAGCAGUAAGGAAUAUUGGACAAUGGCCGCAAGGCUGAUCCAGCCAUCCAGCGUGCAGGAAGAAGGCCCUAUGGGUUGUAAACUGCUUUUGUCUGGGAAUAAACCUGUGGAUUCACUCCGCAGCUGAAGGUACCUGAAGAAUAAGCACCGGCUAACUCCGUGCCAGCCGCCGCCGUAACAC